CCUACGGGAGGCAGCAGUGAGGAAUAUUGGUCAAUGGACGAGAGUCUGAACCAGCCAAGUAGCGUGAAGGAUGACUGCCCUAUGGGUUGUAAACUUCUUUUAUAAAGGAAUAAAACGAGGCACGUGUGCCUUUUUGUAUGUACUUUAUGAAUAAGGAUCGGCUAACUCCGUGCCAGCAGCCGCGGUAAUACGGAGGAUCCGAGCGUUAUCCGGAUUUAUUGGGUUUAAAGGGAGCGUAGAUGGGUUGUUAAGUCAGUUGUGAAAGUUUGCGGCUCAACCGUAAAAUUGCAAUUGAUACUGGCAGUCUUGAGUACAGUUGAGGUAGGCGGAAUUCGUGGUGUAGCGGUGAAAUGCUUAGAUAUCACGAAGAACCACGAUUGCGAAGGCAGCUUACUAAACUGUGACUGACAUUGAUGCUCGAAAGUGUGGGUAUCAAACAGGAUUAGAUACCCCUGUAGUC
rnacentral:rRNA from 1 species